rnacentral:rRNA from 1 species
GAGUUUGAUCUUGGCUCAGAGCGAACGCUGGCGGCAGGCCUAAUACAUGCAAGUCGAACGGCUCUUCGGAGCAGUGGCGGACGGGUGAGUAACGCGUGGGAACGUGCCCUUUGGUUCGGAACAACACAGGGAAACUUGUGCUAAUACCGAAUGUGCCCUUCGGGGGAAAGAUUUAUCGCCAUUGGAGCGGCCCGCGUUGGAUUAGCUAGUUGGUGGGGUAAAGGCCCACAAGGCGACGAUCCAUAGCUGGUCUGAGAGGAUGAUCAGCCACACUGGGACUGAGACACGGCCCAGACUCCUACGGGAGGCAGCAGUAGGGAAUCUUGCGCAAUGGGCGAAAAGCCUGACGCAGCCAUGCCGCGUGAAUGAUGAAGGUCUUAGGAUUGUAAAAAUUCUUU